rnacentral:rRNA from 1 species
CGCCCAGACUCCUACGGGAGGCAGCAGUGGGGAAUAUUGCACAAUGGGGGAAACCCUGACGCAGCGACGCCGCGUGAGCGAUGAAGUAUUUCGGUAUGUAAAGCUCUAUCAGCAGGGAAGAAAAUGACGGUACCUGACUAAGAAGCCCCGACUAACUACGUGCCAGCAGCCGCGGUAAUACGUAGGGGGCAAGCGUUAUCCGGAUUUACUGGGUGUAAAGGGAGCGUAGACGGCUGUGCAAGCCAGAUGUGAAAGCCCGGGGCUCAACCCCGGGACUGCAUUUGGAACUGUGUGGCUGGAGUGUCGGAGAGGCAGGCGGAAUUCCUAGUGUAGCGGUGAAAUGCGUAGAUAUUAGGAGGAACACCAGUGGCGAAGGCGGCCUGCUGGACGAUGACUGACGUUGAGGCUCGAAAGCGUGGGGAGCAAACAGGAUUAGAUACCCCCGUACC